GUUAAAGUUUUAUUCUGGUUUAGUACUUUUGCUAUCAACUUAAAGAUGCAUGUAAACGUUUGGUGAGACCAUAGUUAAGUUAAAUUAAAUAUCUAUAAUAAAUAUAAAAAAUAAUUUUAUAACAUAUUAAAUCGCAGCAUCCAAUACUAGUGUAAUAAAUAAAAGUUAGACCUGAUGAUGUUGAAUUAUAUCUGGCUAAAAUUGUGCCAGCAGCCGCGGUUAUACUAAGAGGUAAAGUAAAAGAAACUUGGUUAAAAAUGCUUAAGCGAAAAUAUAAUUUUGGUUAAUAUUUGCACUAAUAAAGGGUAAAAUCAAUCUUUUAAAUUGCAAAGAGCUACCUAAUAAAAUGUUAGCUGAGGUUGUUAAAGUUAAGGAAUGGACCAGGAUUAGAUACCCUGUUACACUUUUCUAAAAAUAUAUUACCUGGGUAUUAAAAAGUUAUAAGCUCGAAACUCAAAGAAUUUGGCGGUAGUUUAGUCUAGUUAGAGGAACCUGUCCUAUAAUCGAUAAAACACGAAAAAUCUUACUUUAUUUUGUAAUAUCAGUUUGUAUACCGUUAUUAUUAGAUAACUUCAGUAGAAUUUUCAGUUAUUGAAAUAGUUUAAACUAAUAUAUUAGAUCAAGGUGCAGCUAAUAAUAAAGAAGAGAUGGGUUACAAUAAAUUUGUUUAGACGGAUCUAAAAAGGAAAUUUUUUUGGUCAAGGAGGAUUUAAAAGUAAUUAGAUGUUUAAUAAGGUUUUUUGAUUAUAGCUCUAAACUAUGUACACAUUGCCCGUCGCUCUCGUUAUUAAAGCGAGAUAAGUCGUAACAUAGUAAGUGUAUCGGAAGUUGCACUUAGAAUUU
rnacentral:ncRNA from 1 species